GGCAGGGCUGGUGCUACCAUGCAGUCGAACGCUGAAGCCGACAGCUUGCUGUUGGUGGAUGAGUGGCGAACGGGUGAGUAACACGUGAGUAACCUGCCCCUGAUUUCGGGAUAAGCCUGGGAAACUGGGUCUAAUACCGGAUAUGACCUCCUGACGCAUGUUGGGUGGUGGAAAGUUUUUCGAUCGGGGAUGGGCUCGCGGCCUAUCAGCUUGUUGGUGGGGUAAUGGCCUACCAAGGCGACGACGGGUAGCCGGCCUGAGAGGGCGACCGGCCACACUGGGACUGAGACACGGCCCAGACUCCUACGGGAGGCAGCAGUGGGGAAUAUUGCACAAUGGGGGAAACCCUGAUGCAGCGACGCAGCGUGCGGGAUGACGGCCUUCGGGUUGUAAACCGCUUUCAGCAGGGAAGAAGCGAAAGUGACGGUACCUGCAGAAGAAGUACCGGCUAACUACGUGCCAGCAGCCGCGGUAAUACGUAGGGUACGAGCGUUGUCCGGAAUUAUUGGGCGUAAAGAGCUCGUAGGUGGUUGGUCACGUCUGCUGUGGAAACGCAACGCUUAACGUUGCGCGUGCAGUGGGUACGGGCUGACUAGAGUGCAGUAGGGGAGUCUGGAAUUCCUGGUGUAGCGGUGAAAUGCGCAGAUAUCAGGAGGAACACCGGUGGCGAAGGCGGGACUCUGGGCUGUAACUGACACUGAGGAGCGAAAGCAUGGGGAGCGAACAGGAUUAGAUACCCUGGUAGUCCAUGCCGUAAACGUUGGGCACUAGGUGUGGGGGGACAUUCCACGUUCUCCGCGCCGUAGCUAACGCAUUAAGUGCCCCGCCUGGGGAGUACGG
rnacentral:rRNA from 1 species